CCCCAACCGGCCAGCAGUCUUUCUAAGAGGAAGCCUCCCGUCCUCCUUCACGCUCUCCGCUAAAGCGCCACUUUCCAAAGAGCAGUUUCUCCCUUGACGUCACAGUAAAGAGUCAAGAGAAAAGCGUUCAGCCCUUGCCUCUCAGUUCCGUCACCUGGACGAGAGCUGGGCUGUGUCUGUGCCACGGGCUGGGCGCGCAGUGCAAGGAGGGGUGGCCUUGGUGGAAUGUUUGCAGUUUUACUCCACGCCUUCAACAGAGAGGCUUACUUUUGUUCCCACAACCACCAUCCCUUCCCAGAAAGAACAAAACCUCCGAUUCUCUGCGGGCUUUCCUCGCUCACCCAGGCCGGACCUGUCGUCACGGCCCAGAGAAGUGUCUGUGUGCCGGAAGAGGUCCGGAUGAAAGCAGGCAGGGCCCAGCUCUACCCAGGCCGGUCCUGGCAUCCUGUGGCUGGUGGAGCAGGUGGUGGGGCCCUGCCACCCUCAUCUACAGCUGCGAAGGCUCUGAGGACCUGCUCGUCCUCACUGACCAAACACGACGUCCAGAAGGCUCAAAGCAUGCCUCUCACAUAAGCCCAGGACGAAGACGAGAACAAUGCUCCUGGCUCCCUCCUGAGGAAGCAGGGAGCAGGCAGGGCCUGCUCGGAUGGGCCUUAGAGGAGCAGGGACGGUCUGCCCUCAGGGAAGCCUUCCUGAAACAAGCCUCUGAGUUCUGCCUGCGGACAGUCAAAUCACAGCCUUCAGAGUUACCACGGAGGGAACCCUGGCAGCUGGGGUUUCUAAAUCUUUCUUGCAAUGCAAGUGCCUGACUUAACUGGGAUUGCCAGUCAAGGCCGCCACUUCCAAGCCCGCUGUCUUGCAUGACACAGUGCCAGGCCCAGCAAGAUAAGAGCCAGGCCGACCCCUCACACACCCGCCAGGCUCCUUCAUCUUAGAGGUCAGGCUUGGCUGCAACACUUACGGACCAUUGGGCCUCCUGCUUUUUCUCUUCCUGCUCUUCAAAUUCCUAUACUU
rnacentral:lncRNA from 1 species